GUUCCUGCACUUCACUGCCACAUUCCAUCAAUCCGUGCCAUUUAAAACAGAAAUAACUACUGUUUAUCCCGUUAAUGACGAUAAAUAGUUAUAAAUAUGUAUAUUUUUAGUAACGCCCGGUAGGUAAAUUGAACUUCCGUCCCCUAUAUUUCCGSUUUAAUUUGCCCUGCUGUCAAUCAUCAACAGACGGACGCUCUCAGCGCCUUACCUAGCGAUAAUUAAGUGUUGAGGGACUGUGUAUAAAAGAUGGAGCSGCUCUUUCUCGGCUCCUCGGAGCUCAGAAAAGAAAUACAGGUUAUUGUUUUGUCAGGCGGAGCUCAGGUGUUUUAUUGGAGCUUCACUUCCUGCAGAUGUUCGCAGCUCAGAGGCGCUGAUUGGAACAGGCUGUCGGCCAUCACAGAGCAACAGAUGGAGGUGCACAACAGGAUAUUACCACUAAGAGGAUUCCUGUUUCUUYGCCUGUCGCCACAGACUUUUUUGCAUGGACAGAGUCUUUCAUCGUGACCCAGCUCGGCUGGCUUACUGGAACCGACGUAGAGUUGUUGGUUAAGCCCUGUGAAACUCGCCAGGAUGCAUGUUGACCCGCUUGGCAAACAGACAACCCCUGAUGGAGUACACCGUGAAUAACAUUAAAUUAAUUCACCAGGUGUGAUUAGAAAGUCCUGGCAAAACCUUGAGGCUUUUUUUUUACUACAAACUUUCACUCCGAGCUUAAAGGCAGUUGCAGAGGGCAGAAUAAGUAAGGAGGACCGAAACGACAUUAAAAAGAACUUUACCUGAUGUUUUAUAAUUUAGCCUUCAUGUUUUUCCAGCUUACUUCUAAUAAAUUAUGUAUUUUAGAACAUAAUUUACACUUUACUGUUUUUAAAUAUAUAAUUUCUUUUUUACUUGUGAAUGCAUUUGUGUUUCAUAACUGAUUAUAUAUUUAAUUUUUUAAAUAAAUUUUCCCACAAGUCUUAA